AGGUCCUCAACUUAAUGAGAUGUCUUUCUGGACUGGAAUGGGGGGCUGAUGUAGCCUCUCUGAAGCAAAUUUAUAACUACUUAAUCAGGGCAAGGACUGAGUAUGGAUGCAUAGUUUAUGGGUCUGCAGCCAAAUCAGUGUUAGCUGGAUUGGAUGUUAUCCAAGCUAAGGAUUUGUACAGGAGCAGUGCGAUCAUCCCCAGUCUGUUCCUUGCAAGUGGAGACAGGUGAAAUGCCAUUUGAGUUGAGAAGGAAACAGCUUCAAGCAAACUAUUGGGUGAAUUUGAUGGGUCAGAGACCUGGCCACCCAGUAAAAAGUGUAAUUCAGCCAAGUUGGGAGAGAGAGGGGGCAAGAUUAUUAAGCUUUGGGUGGACCGGGGAAGUUGUAGCACAGGAAUUGAAGGUCCUUAAUAAGUCUUUUAGUUUAGGAGUAGUGUGGCCUUCUAUACCUUUGUGGCAAUUGGAGGCUCCAGAGACUGAUCUAGGAUUGCUUAGAAUUAAGUGUGAUAAUCCUGAAGUAGAUCUAGUACAUGAGUUUCAUUGUCAUGUGGGUGAAAGAUAUAGGGAUCAUAUUUUAGUAUUCACUGAUGGAUCAAAAGACCAAGACAUAGGUGUUACAGGUGCAGCUUUCAUUGUUCAAAGGUUUAAUAUUCAUGCUUGUAAGCGAACCUCAGACUUUUUAAGUGUUUAUACAGUAGAACUAUAUGCCAUCCUGAUGGCUGUGCAGUGGGCCGAACAAUUCCAGAAUAAGAAAGUGCUGAUUUGUAGUGACAGUAUGUCAGCUAUCAGUAGUCUUGGUAAGGGAUUGUCAAAGAGCCGACAAGAUUUGAUCUAUGAAGUCCUGAUGGAAAUUAGGGAUGCUAAGAGGAGGGGUGUGGAGGUGUCAUUUUUAUGGGUCCCGGCACAUGUGGGCAUUUCAUUAAAUGAAAAGGCUGAUAAGUUGGCCAAGAAGGCAGCCAAAAAAGACACAAUUGAUGUCCACAUACACCUAUCUAAGUCAGAGGGUAAAAGCAUUGUAUGGCAAGAGAUAAUUUUGAGUUGGCAGUCACGUUGGGAGCAAGAACAGAAGGGCAGACACCUUUUUCACUUACUAGUAGAGUAACAGACUCAGGUCAGGUUUACAAAAGAGGAGGAGGCAAACGAAAGGAGAAUGUCAUUAUUUCUAGAUUGAGAAUUGGACAUACAUUUCUGAACAGUACCUUAUUUAUUUUGGGAAAACAUCAGACUGGAUUAUGCACCAAUUUUUCCGGCCAGGAAAUGGAGUCUGUACGACAUGUGUUACUCUCUUGUGGGAAAUACGAUUGCCAAAGGCAAGAACUGAUCAGACAGCUGAGGAAGAUUGGUCUGGAAGAGGUUUCUCUGAAAAGUGUGUUGGACAUGGGGUCAAGUGGGAAGGGAAGAAGACCUUUUCUCCAGUUUUUAAUGGACACUGGCCUAUAUGGUAGAAUUUAGUGCGCUACGUUUUUAGUUCAGUAGGUGGCAGCAAUGCAACUUUUUAGGAUGCCGGCUGCCUUAAAACCCCAAAGAAGAAGAAGAAGAAGCAGGCGUGCGACUGGGCUCACUGAAGAAAAUAAGUUUUACGCUAGCUAAUGUAAGUUGGAGUCUAAGUGUGAAAGUUUGAGUAUUGUUGUUUGUUUGCGGAAGUAGUACGGUAGUUGUCACUCCAGCAGCUGCCUGUCCCUGGACCGCUUCUCUCUCUCCCUCCAGCCACGGUGGUGCCCGGUGUGUGUGAGUACCCUGCCACCAGUCGUUUUGAAGAGUCAUUUGAUACAGAGACUGUACGUAAGCCCACUCGUUUGGAACUGUGAACUUUUAUGAGGAAACAUUGCAUUCUACAGCUCUGCUGCUGUUUGGUACAACACACUCUGGAUCAAACGUGUGCUAGAGCACCACCAGGACAGCAGAUCUUCCCAACGCAUCCCCAGUCCAAUCAGCUCCCGCUCCGUGUCUCGCCUCCAGGAGUUUCUAGGGCGGCCCCUCCUUCUCUUGCCUCGGGGGUUCCAGGUCAGUGCCUGUCUGGUGGUACUGUCAGCUGACUUCCUGAGGGUAUGACCAAUCCACCCCAUUUCCUUCCUAGGAUCUUUUUGACAACAGGUUCCUGUCCUGCCCUGCACCACAGCUCUUCGUUUCUGACCUUCUCUGGCCACCUGAUGUUAAAGAUGCAUCUGAGGCAGUUAAUGAGUCCAUAAAGGUAUUUAUAAAAGGUCAACAUCAAAUGAACAUGUCCUUUACUUUAUUUGAUCACAUUUUAUUGCCUACCAGCUAGUAUGGUGAGAAAUAGGACUAAUCAAUUGGAAUCAUGGAUUUUCUUUUUUCUGGGUAGUUCUAGGAUUAUAAAGCAUGUAUUAUGAGCAUAUAAUUUCAGUGAGAUUUUCAUAAAGCUAUUUUACUUCCUUGACCAUAUGGCAAGAAUGGUUGAUGGUAAAUCAGGCUGCUACUGUUUGGCAUCUGCCCAAAAUGUACAGCUUACACGAUCAUUUAAUUUAGCAUAUUCCUUCCUGAAAUCAGUUCCUGGCCACACCACUGGUACACUCGAGCACGUCAGCUUCCAAUGCUUCAUCUUUUAUACUAAUACCAUUAUCCAACACCAAUUUGUUCAGCAUCUCAUAAAUCAUUAACUGGCUGAGUUGAGUAAUGCCAGUGUUAUUAUGAGUAGCUGGAUGUGGAAAGUUAAAUCUGUUAAUCUGAUAACCAGUACUGAAUAAAUAUUAAUAGAACAUGGAAUUUUAAUACUAACAGAAUAAACUGUGUUUCAGUUAUGAUUAACAGAAUGAACAAAAGCUGAAGAGGAUCUCAGAUAUAGUAGAGUUUUCAUUUCAGCCUGAGUUAAAGAUUUCACCAUUCUCCUCUAGACAUCACAUUGUGGAGACACACUGGCAGGGUGUAUUUCAAGUAUUUCUUGGAACAGAUGUAUGUUUCUAUGCAACACUGGACAAAGCUGAUAAAGCUUCCAGCUUGGUAUAAUGAUGACACUAAAGGAUAGUGACUUGCACUUGUGUUUUAUCACUAGAUGGCACUACUGAGUUGCAGCUCGAAGAGUUAGAUUUAGUCUUCAGUAUUUUGUACCUGGCCUCUCCCCUGAAACCUGUUCACCCAUUAGACAUGGUCCCUUUGGCAGCAUUAAACUUUUGAAAACAUAGAAUGUGCCCUUCAGUGUGGCAAAAUUCCAGUCCGUGAAGAAAACAGUUUAUCACAAUGUCAUUUUAGGUAAUUUAAUAAUAAUGUAUGGUAAGUGAAUACAUUGCAUAGCUUAAUGAUAAUAUAUUGCUGCAUGAAGAAAUGUGUACAAAGACCUGUUACGUUUCUAAGUGAAAAUGUAUAAACAAUGAUCCUUGUCCUGUAUUUCCAGUCUGACCUGUUAUCUGACUAGCACAUGGUAUGACUGGGCAUGGUAUAACAAAGUGAAAGCACGACAGUGUUUCUGACUGCUUUUGUGCUCUCAAAAGUUCAUCUGCCACAGACAGAGCUACAGCUUUUGUGGAAGAAUCAGUGUACUACAGAAUCUACUUUGGCAUUUGGUGAUUUUUUUUCAUCAAUAAUGUCAGGAAAACUUCCAUGUUAUGAAUUUCAACCUGGAAAUAUAGGAACAGCUUCCAAACAGUUUACAGAAAGACUUCAAAAAGAAAGAAAAUCUAUGAAGAUGAAGACUAAGACGGAAGACUGUAAAGCUGUUCUGUUUUAUUGGCCCAUCAUUUCACGGGCAGGAAGUGAUAUUCAAACUGCACUGCAAAAACUCCAAAGUGAUUAUAAGGGCAAAUAUGUUGCUCUGGUAUUGUUCCAUCACACAUUUGACCCAGAGACCAUUGUACCAGACAGCAGCAGAGAUGUAAAUAGCGAGAAUCAGGGGGGUCCAGAGAAUCCUAUUGUGGUUGACUGUCUGUUCCAUGAGAAUAAGGGGCUUCUGCACUGCCGUAAAAAUGAUGAAGCUGUAAAGAAGGUUGCAGCCUGGCUCCGUAGUGUGAAAUACACACCUCCAGUAGCAACCCAGAGAAAAUAAGUCAUAGUGUGGUACUACCAUGUCGUAUCAACACCUUCUUAAUGAGAGAUCUGCAGCUGAAAAAACUACAGCCAAUGAAGGAAGGAAAAAAGAAGACAAAAACAGAAGUUCUUUGGGUUCUUAAGUGAGGCUUGGCUCCAGCAAAACAUCUUUAUUCCACCUGAUCAGAUGAUCUUUUUACCACAACUAUAUAUCACAUUAAUAACAGCAUGGAAUACAGUGAUGAAUUAUGUACAAUGUGUAUUUUUCCUCUUUACAUAUACUACACAUGAGUACAGUAUAUGACUUCUCCGUUAUGUGCUUUUCAAGAGUAUUACAUGUGCUAAUAUUAUUGGAAUUAAUUUUUGAGAAUAUUGUGUACCUUUUGAAAAUAAUGACAUGGUUAUUAUUUUCUGGUAAAUAAUCACAUUAUAGAAUUGUUAUAGAAUAUUACUGACACUGUUGCGUGAAUCAGUUUGCAUACACUUAUCAUAAAAUCAAGAUGGCAUUUAUUUUAAAGGUCCCAUGGCAUGAAAUUUUCACUUUCUGAGGUUUUUUAACGUUAAAAUGAGUUCCUCUGACCUUCUUAAGUCACCCCAGUGGCUAGAAAUGUCAUAAUGUGUAAACCAAACUAUGCCCACCCUUUGUCAACAUUUGAGAAUGGCGCGUGAGAAUGGUGCGUUGAUAGGCUCUUCCCUUUACUACGUCAGCAAGGGAGAUGAUCCCCACGCCCCCCCCCCCCCCCCCUCUGGAUUCCCACCCACUGUAUGGAUUGCCCGCCCAGCUCAAAAGUUGCCACCAUAGAUACGUCACUUCAAUUUUGUAGUGAGGAGACCAUAGAGGACACAACAACAUGGCACCACCUAAGCGAGCAAAACAUGCAAAUUGCGCUGUACAUGGAUGUGACAACACAGAAAGGAGUCUGUUUUUACUGCCGACGGGAGAGCCCCUGAAGACGCAGUGGCUUAAUUUUAUUUACUCCAAUAAUACGCCGUCGAGUCUACCUAAGACGGUGUAUGUUUGUUGGAAGCAUUUUCCUGAUGAAUGUUUCCACAACUUGGGACAGUACAGGGCAGGUUUUGCACAUCAACUGUCACUGAAGCCUGGGUCCGUACUAGACCCCGAAGCCGUUUGUUUUCAGGAUAAUGGCUGGCUGAUGAAAUUAUUGGCUGGCUAGCUGACUCAGCCAAAACCUUAAUGGCUGCUGCAGCCACCAAAAUGUUUAUGGCUACAAAUGGCUGAUACUGGACGUCACUGUGUGGCAUAUAUCCGGGCGAACGGAUCAAACAAAUGGGGGGAAUAAAUAGCAAAUUACCACAGGUCCCCUGGUCUCUUACUUCAUUGUAAAUAUAAAUCUAGCAAGAUUGUAGUUCAAUGCUAAUAAUAAGCUAAUCUGGAUUGUUCGAGGAAGGCAUCUAGCUAUCUACUCUCACUAGCAAUGACCAGUGAAGGACUGGCAGCUAUCUUACUAUGAUGAAAGUAGAGUGGUGGAGUACUUUUUUUUUUUAAUCAAUCUCGAAGUAUGUGAAUAGGGUUGCCACAUCUGAGUUGUAAAAAACCGGGACACAUCGGUCGGCGGCCGCGCCUGCGCGCACGUACGAGCGCGGGGGUUGAGGGCUGCGGACACGCACAUCUACAAUGCCUUAUGCCUUACUGUAUGUGAAUGUUCACGUUUAAAAAUAAAACAGUUCAACUGGUGCAGUUAGGCGUUUAGUUAAAAUUCAUUUUGUCUUCUUAACCCUUAAAUGGGCACUACCACAAAUAUUAUUACAAAAAAUAAUUUCAUAUAGGAAUGAUCUUAUUUGGACGCCAAUAUUUUUUUUAACAAUAUUUUUUUUUUCUUUUUGACAGGUACCGGAUCUUCUACUUCAUUCUGUCCGACUCCCUCAUCGUCUGUCUCUCCUCCCAUUCCGUUUCCAAAUCAAAAUAAUACAAAUAUAAUCAAUAUAAUUUCUCUCAGUCUGCUUCGUUGUUGUUUUAGCCUUUUCUCUGGAGAACUGAACUUUAAAAGUUAGACUACCGUAUCAUACCAAAUAGCCCUAAUCCUUUGUUUUAAUCACAAGAGAGAGGUGCUAUGUUAUUGGGACAACUGAUUUAUUCAUUUCUCACGCCAGUGUUCAGGCAUUCUUUUUUGAUAUAUUUAAUGAUUUAUUUAAUGAUUCAUUUAUUGAUGAAACUGGCCCAGGCUUUAGAACCAGCCUUUAUCAGAAUCAGAACAUAGGAAGUAGACAGCCAGCCUACUCGUGCACUGACCAAGGGAACUCUCACCUAUUGUUUGGUAUUACGGUAUUCCAGUAUCUUUGAUUUCGCGCGGCCGCCGUUGUAUUGACCACGAUCACCUAGCAACGGCGACUGGCUGCGUGCGCAAACAUUCGGUGAGGCCACACAAGCAGCUGCCUACAAUAUGCCCGCUUACGUGAAAACUAUUAAUAUGUUAAGUGGCUGCGAGAAACAUUAAUGAUUUGUGUUUAUUUCAAUGGGGGAUAAUGUGAGGAAGUAAAAAACCAGGACAAAACGUGUCCCGGGAAGGUUAUUCCAUUUUCCUGGACAUUUUCCAUUUUCCACAAAAAAACCGGGACAAUCCCGGAAAAACCUGGACGUGCAAACAAACAAACAAAAAAAUACCUUUACACUUUCCCUCAGCAGCGGCAAAGAAUGCAGCCAUCUCGUCGAUAUCGGAGUCGAUUGAUGCUCUGGGUGGGUUCCCGGGUUCCCCAGUGUAUCGUGGUAACGGUGUGAGGGGCGGGAAGCCAGACAGGUAGUCACAACGGCAAGCUUGUGGUGGCUCUCUGUGCUGUGAUAUCAGUUCUAAAUCUCUACAGUGUAUGCCUAUACGUCUCUAUUGUGUUACUACUAGUGUGUACAGUUGAUCAUGUUUGUGUCACUUUUCUUGUAGCUCAUGAUGUGGAUAAACCCAUUAUUUGAUGUACACAAUUCUUAGUGGCUCAGCCAAAUUUUAUUAGAUAGCGGCUCAAAUUGGCUUACAAAAUUAUUGGCUGGCGGCGGCUCAAAUUCUAAAUGGCGGUUUUAGCGGCGCCUGGCGGCGGCUUCGGGGUCUAGUCCGUACCAAGCAUCCCUGCCGCAUCAGCCACAAACACCGAACAAGUAAGUGUAUAACUGUUGAGUCAUUUUGCCGUGUUUUAAAAUCAGUGCGUUAGCCUUGCAAUGGCUACAUUAGCUGUGCAGCUAACCGCUUCCUGCAGUUAGCCAGGUACUCUGUGCUACAAAACUAAAGAGCAUGCAGCAUGCUCUGUUAAACUGAGUUUAGUCUGCAAAUUGACUGUAACUUAUGAGCUUAUGUUUGACUAUUGCUCCGCAAUGCAUGUCUUCUGUUGGAUAAGCGAUAUGUUGCUGUAGUUGCUGCUUCUAUCCUCUUUGGUUAUGGAGUGCGUGUUCAAGCCUAGGGUAUUAUACGUUUGUAAACUACCACUCCGAACACACUCACUCUCUGUUCUCUGUGUCACGUUGAGUUUAUGAAAGGAGUCCGAGGGAGAACGGGGUUUUGUCUUAGCAGCGUGGCUACAGGCGCUGAUAGCAGUGAGUAUGUGCGUGCACGCAAACACUAUACUACUAUACUAUACUACUAGUGUUGUACACACAUUUUCCCACUCCCUUAUUUAGACUUGUGAAGGAACCUGAUUAGUGGUCAUUUCUUCUUAUGUUAUGUAUUUCUCAUAUUUAUUUUUGUGUCCCCAUAAUUUUCUGUCAGUAUGUAGAUCAGUAUCAGUAUUGUCAAGCCCCUCCCCCUCCCCCCAUGGCCCGCCCCCACCUUCCCCUCCUCCAUACUUCUCAUUAGCAAAACGACACACUGGGAAAAGGGCUGAAAUGGGGCUUUCUUCCAGGAGGCUAUAUCUACGUGCCGAGGGUUCAUUUCGAGAAAGGUUGCGGAUAUAACAUCCGGAAACCUCCACGAGCCCAUUUAAAGCAUCAACAAACCACCAUGCCAUGGGUCCUUUAAACAGUGAUUCUUUGAUUUGCAAUGAAUACAGAACUUGUGCAGUCUGAGACAUUUUGUAUUUUGAUAGUGGACAUGCUGCAGAUUAUUUGUAAAGAUUAACCAUGUAAAAUAAAUAACAGCACAGAA